GCGAGCGAUCAUACCCGCACUAAUGCACCAGAUCCCCUCAGAACUCCGCAGUUAAGCGUGCUUGGGCGAGAGUAGUACUAAGAUGGGUGACCUCCAAGGAAGUCCUCAUGUUGCACCCC